CCAAUAGCGUAUAUUAAAGUUGCUGCAGUUAAAAAGCUCGUAGUUGAAUUUCGGGAUCAAUUUACUGGUCGUGCCUACGGUACGUACUGGUUUUGUUGGUUCCUCCUUUCUGAGGAGCCGCGAUGUCAUUAACUUGGUGUCGCGGGGAAUCAGGACUGUUACUUUGAAAAAAUUAGAGUGUUUAAAGCAGGCUAACGCUUGAAUACAUUAGCAUGGAAUAAUGAAAUAGGACGUUUGAUCCUAUUUUGUUGGUUUCUAGGGUCGACGUAAUGAUUAAUAGGGAUAGUUGGGGGCAUUAGUAUUCAAUUGUCAGAGGUGAAAUUCUUGGAUUUAUUGAAGACUAACUACUGCGAAAGCAUUUGCCAAGGAUGUUUUCAUUAAUCAAGAACGAAAGUUAGGGGAUCGAAGACGAUCAGAUACCGUCGUAGUCUUAACCAUAAACUAUGCCGACUAGGGAUCGGAUGAUAAUUUUUUAAUAACUCAUUCGGCGCCUUACG
rnacentral:rRNA from 1 species